rnacentral:lncRNA from 1 species
AUUUUGGGGUUCUAAUACUUCCAGAAAAUACUUUAUCUUAGGAAUACAGCCUCUGCAAUUAACAUCUUCCAGCUUGCUGCUUCAUAUUGGAAGGAUACACUUGCCAGCAUCUCUACCACACUCCAAACAAGGAGAAGGUUCCUUUGUAUCAAGAAAGCAGAAGCUUUCCAAGGAAGCUCACCCAGCAGACUUCCACUUACAUCUCUCUCCACUCCCAUGAGGCCACCCUUGGACAGGUUACUAGAGAGAAGAGGAUUGUGGGCUGCUACUUUGGAAGAAAAAACAAGAAUGAAUUAUGAGGAAAAUGAAAUAUAGAGAAAACCUCCAAGCUGGCUUAUUCCUUUUUCAGUAAGAUGAGUUCACUGAUCACAUGCUUAGAUGUCAUGGCAAUGUCAAAUUGCUCUCAAUUCUAAAUGCUUACUUUCAAUUUCUGUACUUAUUUUGUCAUAAACCAUGGUUUUAGUAGCACUAUACUAUUUAAACAUAAACUAAAACAAACAGAACAAAGCAAGCAAACAAAAAAUAACCUGCAGCACCUAGAAAGACAUGUAUUAGAACAGGAAGUACACCUGCUGAGUUUGUUCUUGUACUUGGUCCUUGGCUCUGUUUGCAUUUAUAUGUAGUAGUAGUAGUCACUAUUUUCUGGAUUUUAAUUGAUAGAAACAUAAACUAAACUGGCUUCAGUUGGAAAUGUAUUAGUUUACAUGAAUCCUGGGAAGAAAAGAGUUAUAACUGAUUUCAGAGAUUCUUGGGACCUGACAACAUGCUUAUUACAUAACCUCCACUUUCUUUUUCUCAUCUUUCCUAAACAAGCCUCAGAGUUUAUUAGGGGAGGGGAAGCAGGUGUAAGAACGAGAGCCUGACAAUUAGGUCUUGCCCUG